rnacentral:rRNA from 1 species
CCUACGGGAGGCAGCAGUGGGGAAUAUUGCACAAUGGGGGAAACCCUGAUGCAGCGACGCCGCGUGAGUGAAGACGUAAUUCGUUAUGUAAAGCUCUAUCAGCAGGGAAGAAAAUGACGGUACCUGAGUAAGAAGCCCCGGCUAACUACGUGCCAGCAGCCGCGGUAAUACGUAGGGGGCAAGCGUUAUCCGGAUUUACUGGGUGUAACGGGAGCGUAGACGGCAGUGCAAGUCUGGAGUGAAAGGCGGGGGCUCAACCCCCGGACUGCUCUGGAAACUGUACGGAUGGAGUGCAGGAGAGGUAAGUGGAAUUCCUAGUGUAGCGGUGAAAUGCGUAGAUAUUAGGAGGAACACCAGUGGCGAAGGCGGCUUACUGGACUGUAACUGACGUUGAGGCUCGAAAGCGUGGGGAGCAAACAGGAUUAGAUACCCCUGUAGUC